rnacentral:rRNA from 1 species
CAGUCGCCGCGGUAAUACAGAGGGUGCGAGCGUUAAUCGGAUUUACUGGGCGUAAAGCGUGCGUAGGCGGCUUUUUAAGUCGGAUGUGAAAUCCCUGAGCUUAACUUAGGAAUUGCAUUCGAUACUGGGAAGCUAGAGUAUGGGAGAGGAUGGUAGAAUUCCAGGUGUAGCGGUGAAAUGCGUAGAGAUCUGGAGGAAUACCGAUGGCGAAGGCAGCCAUCUGGCCUAAUACUGACGCUGAGGUACGAAAGCAUGGGGAGCAAACAGGAUUAGAUACCCGUGUAGUCCCUGUCUCUUAUAU